rnacentral:rRNA from 1 species
CGCGUAGGCGGCCCGGCAGGCCGGGGGUCGAAGCGGGGGGCUCAACCCCCCGAAGCCCCCGGAACCUCCGCGGCUUGGGUCCGGUAGGGGAGGGUGGAACACCCGGUGUAGCGGUGGAAUGCGCAGAUAUCGGGUGGAACACCGGUGGCGAAGGCGGCCCUCUGGGCCGUCACUGACGCUGAGGAGCGAAAGCGUGGGGAGCGAACA